GAUGAACGCUGGCGGCGUGCCUAAUACAUGCAAGUCGAGCGAACGGACGAGAAGCUUGCUUCUCUGAUGUUAGCGGCGGACGGGUGAGUAACACGUGGAUAACCUACCUAUAAGACUGGGAUAACUUCGGGAAACCGGAGCUAAUACCGGAUAAUAUUUUGAACCGCAUGGUUCAAAAGUGAAAGACGGUCUUGCUGUCACUUAUAGAUGGAUCCGCGCUGCAUUAGCUAGUUGGUAAGGUAACGGCUUACCAAGGCAACGAUGCAUAGCCGACCUGAGAGGGUGAUCGGCCACACUGGAACUGAGACACGGUCCAGACUCCUACGGGAGGCAGCAGUAGGGAAUCUUCCGCAAUGGGCGAAAGCCUGACGGAGCAACGCCGCGUGAGUGAUGAAGGUCUUCGGAUCGUAAAACUCUGUUAUUAGGGAAGAACAUAUGUGUAGGUAACUGUGCACAUCUUGACGGUACCUAAUCAGAAAGCCACGGCUAACUACGUGCCAGCAGCCGCGGUAAUACGUAGGUGGCAAGCGUUAUCCGGAAUUAUUGGGCGUAAAGCGCGCGUAGGCGGUUUUUUAAGUCUGAUGUGAAAGCCCACGGCUCAACCGUGGAGGGUCAUUGGAAACUGGAAAACUUGAGUGCAGAAGAGGAAAGUGGAAUUCCAUGUGUAGCGGUGAAAUGCGCAGAGAUAUGGAGGAACACCAGUGGCGAAGGCGACUUUCUGGUCUGUAACUGACGCUGAUGUGCGAAAGCGUGGGGAUCAAACAGGAUUAGAUACCCUGGUAGUCCACGCCGUAAACGAUGAGUGCUAAGUGUUAGGGGGUUUCCGCCCCUUAGUGCUGCAGCUAACGCAUUAAGCACUCCGCCUGGGGAGUACGACCGCAAGGCUGAAACUCAAAGGAAUUGACGGGGACCCGCACAAGCGGUGGAGCAUGUGGUUUAAUUCGAAGCAACGCGAAGAACCUUACCAAAUCUUGACAUCCUUUGACAACUCUAGAGAUAGAGCCUUCCCCUUCGGGGGACAAAGUGACAGGUGGUGCAUGGUUGUCGUCAGCUCGUGUCGUGAGAUGUUGGGUUAAGUCCCGCAACGAGCGCAACCCUUAAGCUUAGUUGCCAUCAUUAAGUUGGGCACUCUAAGUUGACUGCCGGUGACAAACCGGAGGAAGGUGGGGAUGACGUCAAAUCAUCAUGCCCCUUAUGAUUUGGGCUACACACGUGCUACAAUGGACAAUACAAAGGGCAGCGAAACCGCGAGGUCAAGCAAAUCCCAUAAAGUUGUUCUCAGUUCGGAUUGUAGUCUGCAACUCGACUACAUGAAGCUGGAAUCGCUAGUAAUCGUAGAUCAGCACGCUACGGUGAAUACGUUCCCGGGUCU
rnacentral:rRNA from 1 species